UUCCCCUCACAGGUCUACUGUGAGCAAGGCAAACUCCUCACACAGGCUACUUCUCUACCAACACCAGGGGUACAAGGGAGCAGCACAGAGGGCGGAGGAAGCAGGAUAUGAGACAGGCAGGUGGAGGAGGUUCCAGGAGCAAGAGAUCCUGCAGGCAAGAAUAUUGGCAUUCAUAUUGACAUUUCACAUGGAAAGGUGAACUAUUUCUCAACCCACUGUUGAUCAGAAAGCGCGACUGUGGCUCAUGUAAGCAGAACGUGUCAGUUUUCCUAAGUCCUCAUCAGUUGAAUGAUGUUGAGAGUCUCGCCAGAUGCCGGUUAGCCUUAGAGAUGCUCUUUAAAAGGAAGUCUCUGUCUUCAGUCAUCUUCCCAGUGGGUCAUGUGUGCUUUUCUACGUCACGGGAGCCCAUCACAUGACCACCAUCAGGUAGUUGUAGUCGGGCUGGUGUCUCCUUCUUUUUCCCACUGAUCUUUGUCAAGUGCUUAUUUUUGUUUGACCUUUUUGAUCGUAAUGAUGUCUUUUAGAUCUCUGCUUCCAUUUGAGCAGAUUCGUCAAUUUUCCUCUAUGGCUUUAUCUGACUAUUUUUAUUUUGUAGAUACUUCCUGGUGCUGAGAAGGUGAGCCAUUUUGAAGACACUCAUCGUUAAGGAUGUUGUCAUAUGUUAUCAUGAGCCUAUAUUGUCCUCCCAGAGUUAUUCUUGUUCUUUCAUAAUUAGACUGAUGGUGCAUAUAGAAGAUUAAAAUUUUUUCAUACCA